GCCAGAGGGUGCAAACGUUGUUCGGAAUUACUGGGCGUAAAGCGUGUGUAGGCGGUCUACUAAGUCGGGUGUGAAAGCCCUGGGCUCAACCCAGGAAGUGCACUCGAAACUGGCAGGCUAGAGUACUGGAGAGGUUGGUGGAAUUCUCGGUGUAGAGGUGAAAUUCGUAGAUAUCGAGAGGAACACCGGUGGCGAAGGCGGCCAACUGGACAGAUACUGACGCUGAGACACGAAAGCGUGGGGAGCAAACAGG
rnacentral:rRNA from 1 species